GCUUGCUGCUUCGCUGACGAGUGGCGGACGGGUGAGUAAUGUCUGGGAAACUGCCUGAUGGAGGGGGAUAACUACUGGAAACGGUGGCUAAUACCGCAUAACGUCUCAAGACCAAAGAGGGGGACCUUCGGGCCUCUUGCCAUCAGAUGUGCCCAGAUGGGAUUAGCUUGUUGGUGAGGUAACGGCUCACCAAGGCGACGAUCCCUAGCUGGUCUGAGAGGAUGACCAGCCACACUGGAACUGAGACACGGUCCAGACUCCUACGGGAGGCACCAGUGGGGAAUAUUGCACAAUGGGCGCAAGCCUGAUGCAGCCAUGCCGCGUGUAUGAAGAAGGCCUUCGGGUUGUAAAGUACUUUCAGCGGGGAGGAAGGUGUUGUGGUUAAUAACCGCAGCAAUUGACGUUACCCGCAGAAGAAGCACCGGCUAACUCCGUGCCAGCAGCCGCGGUA
rnacentral:rRNA from 1 species